rnacentral:rRNA from 1 species
CUCAGGAUGAACGCUAGCUACAGGCUUAACACAUGCAAGUCGAGGGGCAGCAUGAAGUUGCUUGCAAACUUGAUGGCGACCGGCGCACGGGUGAGUAACGCGUAUCCAACCUUCCCCUUAGUAGAGGAUAGCCCGGCGAAAGUCGGAUUAAUACUCUAUGUUGUAUUUUGAGGACAUCUGACGAAUACCAAAGAUUCAUCGCUAAGGGAUGGGGAUGCGUCUGAUUAGCUUGUUGGCGGGGUAACGGCCCACCAAGGCGACGAUCAGUAGGGGUUCUGAGAGGAAGGUCCCCCACAUUGGUACUGAGACACGGACCAAACUCCUACGGGAGGCAGCAGUGAGGAAUAUUGGUCAAUGGGCGAGAGCCUGAACCAGCCAAGUAGCGUGCAGGGAAAAGACUGCCCUAUGGGUUGUAAACUGCUUUUAUCAGGGAAUAAAGUUCGGCACGUGUGCUGUUUUGUAUGUACCUGAUGAAUAAGGACCGGCUAAUUCCGUGCCAGCAGCUGC